rnacentral:tRNA from 2 species
UCCCCAAUAGCCCAAUUGGCAGAGGCACUCGUCUUAGAAACGAGCGAUGGGGGUUCGAAUCCCUCUUGGGGAA